rnacentral:misc_RNA from 1 species
GGUGAAGAACGUAGCGAAAUGCGAUAAGUAGUGUGAAUUGCAGAAUUCAGUGAAUCAUCGAAUCUUUGAACGCACAUUGCGCCCCUUGGUAUUCCAUGGGGCAUGCCUGUUCGAGCGUCAUUUGUACCUUCAAGCCUUGCUUGGUGUUGGGUGUUUGUCUCGCCUCUGCGCGCAGACUCGCCUCAAAACAAUUGGCAGCCGGCGUAUUGAUUUCGGAGCGCAGUACAUCUCGCGCUUUGCACUCAGAACGACGACGUCCAAAAGUACAUUUUUACACUCUUGACCUCGGAUCAGGUAGGGAUACCCGCUGAACUUAAGCAUAUCAAUAAGCGGAGGA